UUCGCCUUCUCCCCUCCAUCGAUUCGUCUCCACUCCACUUCUCUCCCAUGGCGUCGGCGGCGAUUCUCCGCUCCGCCGCCCGCUCGCUGCGCCUCCUGCAGCCCCUGGAGCAGUCGGGGUGCCUGCUGGGACGGCGCGCCAUCGUUGGGGACCUGAGCCCCAGCACGCGCCUGCUCAGCAGCUCCGUGCCCACCGAGGUAUUCAGUCCCCCCUCCUGGUGUUCCCUCUGGGGUCUCCACUGGUUAGGGCAUGCAUGUCAAGGUGGGCGAACUGGCGAGCUGUGACCCAUGGGUUCCUCGAUUCGGGCCAGGAAUAGUAGGUCUACUCGUGCGACCUGUUGAUCCACGUUACCUGCAGCCUUAUCUUCAGAAAGUUUAUUAAUGUUAUUAGCCUUUGGGCUUUACUGGACUUCGAUUCCACUGAAAUUGUCAAUGUUCAGGUCCGCGGCUCCUUGUUGUCUUGCUCUUCUGCAGCUAGGGCACAUGGUGUUAGGUUUGGGUUAGGAUUAGGUUUGCACGGGGUCGGAAGGGGUGGCCAGAGGUGGCUGCUGCGCCUUUUAUUUUACAGAGUAUAUCCUGACUUCGCCUGUGAUUGAUUGUAAACUAGAGACAGACGUUGUAAAACUCUUGUCUUGUUUAAACAUACGUGUAUGCAAUGACUUAGGUGAAAAAUUGAUUAUAAGUUGUUGAUUGUUGAUGAUAAAAAUGAUUACAAGUGCAAGUGCUAGAUGGGUGUAAAAGGAAAAGGUGUGCCUGGAGUUGCCUGAAUAAUCUGAGCAUUUGAAACUGGGGGACUCAGUAUGCACAUCAAAAUCGUUCAAGGAGCACCAUCGAACAGAAAAGUCUCACCAACAAGAAGACAGAAGACAUUUACCAACGAAUAUCAACAAAGUUCGAUAAAAUUUCAGCUGGCUUGGACGAACAAUCUCGUUUGCUUAAACAAAUCGAGGUUCAGAUGGAAGAAAAUAAUAAGCGUCGCGGAGCGAUAGACCUUACACCAUGGGUUGUGUCUAUACCUGUCUCGUUCCUUCUGGUUGCCCUUUAUAAUUAUGUACAGAGCUGACUGAUUCGAGAGCAGGAAAAUUGGGAGGUGCAAUUUAACUUGUGUGAACUCUCAGUUUCUUUUGGAAGUGGAGUGAUGUAGUGCCUUAGAUGUUCUAUGGUAUUGAAAGGUUUAAUUUAAUAAAGUGAUUUGUGAUCAAUGCUUUUUGGCUGUUCCUUUGGUUGCUUAUUGUUCUGCACUGAACUGAAUGUAAGAUCAGGUUGAAGGGAGGGCUUUGUGUGGAUUUAUGUGAGCUGUACACAUUAACGCCAAUGCAUUUUGUUAGUAAGGUGUUAAUAAAUAGUGAUACCAUCUUCCACCCAGAAUUUUUGCUGGGUUUACGGUGAUGUCCAUAUAUUAUUGUUUUUUAUUUACACUCCUUGUUGACUUGCAUUUGGGAGACUUCUUUUCAGUGGACAAAUAAACACGUAAUAUUAUGUGUUUGCAAGAAUCUGUACUCUUAGAAUGAUCAGAUGCACUCGAGGGGCUGUGGCUGGAUGCCUUCUGAACGCAGCUGCUUGUCUGCCUCCUCUACUGAUCCAUGAAUGUUAAGCCCCCAGGAGGCAACACCCACCCCCACCAGCUAAGGAUAUCAGUGAUCUUCUUAAGCUGCUGAAUGAAGUGGAAUUAACCAGUGGACGAGUGGAGGCUGAAACAGGCCUUUCAUGAAGUCCAAUUAUGUUGCUUAAUGUUCGUCAUCAACGUAGCGCUGCUCACAUUGGAAAUUACCUCGAAUAUCAAAACUUUCAGUAUGAUCAGUGGAGAUACAUACUGAAGGUUCUGUACAAGAAAGUUGGGCUUUUCAAAGAGGCGAUGGACCUGCAAAUCAAAGAGAUCAUACGGCCGGCAGCAACCGUACUAGAACGGAUCUCCAAGAACUUCGACAAAUUAGACCAAAUCUAUGAUAAACAGCUUAUUAGUUUAAAGCGACUCGAAGAUGUGAUGCGAGAGAAUAUCAAGCGUGACAGGCGUAGAAAAGUGUUAGUGUGUGGUAUUGUCUUCAUCGGCAUUGCCGUUUUCGUGAAAAAACAAUUCUUUGGUGCGAGUCAAGAGGACAAGGCGAUAAGCAAGAGCACUUAGACCCUUAAGAGGGCAUGCCUAUAUGUAGAGACCUUAAUUAUUGUAACAAAAGCUUAUGCUUGCGUUUGAUUAUACAUGCAUGUGAUA